AUUGAACGCUGGCGGCAUGCUUUACACAUGCAAGUCGAACGGCAGCGCGGGCUUCGGCCUGGCGGCGAGUGGCGAACGGGUGAGUAAUACAUCGGAACGUGCCCAGUAGUGGGGGAUAGCUCGGCGAAAGCCGGAUUAAUACCGCAUACGACCUGAGGGUGAAAGCGGGGGAUCUUCGGACCUCGCGCUAUUGGAGCGGCCGAUGGCAGAUUAGCUAGUUGGUGGGGUAAAGGCCUACCAAGGCGACGAUCUGUAGCUGGUCUGAGAGGACGACCAGCCACACUGGGACUGAGGCACCGCCCAGACUCCUACGGGGAGGCGGAGUGGGGAAUUUUGGACAAUGGGCGAAAGCCUGAUCCAGCAAUGCCGGGUGUGGGAUGAAGGCCUUCCGGUUGUAAAGCCCUUUUGGGGGGAAAGAAAAGGACUGUGCCAAUACCACGGUUCGAUGACGGUACCCGCAGAAUAAGCACCGGCUAACUACGUG
rnacentral:rRNA from 1 species